UAAAUUAUUUAUUAAUUUAUAAUUUAUUUAAAAUAUUUAUUAGUUGUAUUAUUUUUAAUGAAAAUAAUUGGUUUUAUUAUAGUUGAUUUGUAUAGUAUUAGAUUAUUUAUUAAAUUAAAUAAAGAAAAUUUAAUUUAUUGUACCUUGUGUAUCAGGGUUUAUUAAAUAAAAGUUAUUUAAUUAAUUUUCUCGAUUUUAAAAGAGUUAAAAAAAUAUAAAUUUUAUUGUAAAAUAAAUAUUUAAAAUAUUUUUUUUGUAAUGAAAUGUUAUUCGUUUUUAAAUAUAUCUAGUUAUUUAAGAAAAAAAUUUAAUUUUAUUUAAUUUUAAAUUAAUAUAAUUAAUUAUUAAUUUAAUAAUUAAUUAAAAAUUUUAAGGGAUGAGCUUUAAGAUUUAAUUUUAGAAAUUUUAAUUUAUUAAUAAUAAAAGUAGAAUUAGAAGUUUUCAUCUUUUAUAGUAUGUUAUAAUAAAUAUUAUUAUAAUAAAUAUUUAUAUUAAUUUUAAAUUUUUUAUUGAAUAAAUUUAUUUAAUUUUUUAUUAGAUUUUAUAAUGAUUAAAUUAGUAUAAUUUAUAGUAUAUUUUAUGAAAGUAUUAGGUUAGGUUAAGGAAUUAGGCAAUUUAAUUUUCUUGCCUGUUUAUUAAAAACAUGUCUUUAAGAUUUUAAUUUUAAGUCUGGCCUGCCCAUUGAUAAAUUUAACGGCCGCAGUAUUUUGACUGUGCGAAGGUAGCAUAAUAAUUAGUUUUUUAAUUAAAAGCUUGUAUGAAUGGUUAGACAAGGAAAAUUCUGUCUCUGCUUAAUUUUAUUAGAAUUUUAUUUUUAAGUUAAAAAGCUUAAAUAUAUUUAAAAGACGAGAAGACCCUAUAGAGUUUUAUAUAAAUAAUUAUUGAUUAAUUUAAGGAAUAAUUUAUAUAAAUAAUUUAUAUAUUUAGUUGGGGUGAUUUUAAAAUUUAAUUAACUUUUAAUAUAUUUAAACAUUAAUAAAUGAUUUUAUGAUCCAAUUUUAUUGAUUAAAAGAUUAAAUUACCUUAGGGAUAACAGCGUUAUUUUUUUAGAGAGUUCUUAUCGAUAAAAAAGAUUGCGACCUCGAUGUUGGAUUAAAAUUAAUUUUUAAUGUAGAAGUUAAGAAUAUUAGGUCUGUUCGACCUUUAAAAUUUUACAUGAUCUGAGUUUAAACCGGUGUGAGCCAGGUUGGUUUCUAUCUUUAAAUUAUGUUAAUAUUUUAGUACGAAAGGACCAAAUAUU
rnacentral:rRNA from 1 species